rnacentral:rRNA from 1 species
AGAGUUUGAUCAUGGCUCAGGAUGAACGCUAGCGGGAGGCCUAACACAUGCAAGCCGAGCGGUAGAAUUUCUUCGGAGAUUUGAGAGCGGCGUACGGGUGCGUAACACGUGUGCAACCUACCUUUAUCUGGGGGAUAGCCUUUCGAAAGGAAGAUUAAUACCCCAUAAUAUAAUGAAUGGCAUCAUUUAUUAUUGAAAACUCCGGUGGAUAGAGAUGGGCACGCGCAAGAUUAGAUAGUUGGUGAGGUAACGGCUCACCAAGUCAAUGAUCUUUAGGGGGCCUGAGAGGGUGAUCCCCCACACUGGUACUGAGACACGGACCAGACUCCUACGGGAGGCAGCAGUGAGGAAUAUUGGACAAUGGGUGAGAGCCUGAUCCAGCCAUCCCGCGUGAAGGACGACUGCCCUAUGGGUUGUAAACUUCUUUUGUACAGGGAUAAACCAUUCUACGUGUAGAAUGCUGAAGGUACUGUACGAAUAAGCACCGGCUAACUCCGUGCCAGCAGCCGCGGUAAUACGGAGGGUGCAAGCGUUAUCCGGAUUUAUUGGGUUUAAAGGGUCCGUAGGCGGGCUGAUAAGUCAGUGGUGAAAGCCGACAGCUUAACUGUCGAACUGCCAUUGAUACUGUCAGUCUUGAGUAUAUUUGAGGUAGCUGGAAUAAGUAGUGUAGCGGUGAAAUGCAUAGAUAUUACUUAGAACACCAAUUGCGAAGGCAGGUUACCAAGAUAUAACUGACGCUGAUGGACGAAAGCGUGGGGAGCGAACAGGAUUAGAUACCCUGGUAGUCCACGCCGUAAACGAUGCUAACUCGUUUUUGGGGUUUAGGCUUCAGAGACCAAGCGAAAGUGAUAAGUUAGCCACCUGGGGAGUACGUUCGCAAGAAUGAAACUCAAAGGAAUUGACGGGGGCCCGCACAAGCGGAGGAUCAUGUGGUUUAAUUCGAUGAUACGCGAGGAACCUUACCAAGGCUUAAAUGGGAAUUGACAGGCUUAGAAAUAGGUCUUUCUUCGGACAAUUUUCAAGGUGCUGCAUGGUUGUCGUCAGCUCGUGCCGUGAGGUGUUAGGUUAAGUCCUGCAACGAGCGCAACCCCUGUCACUAGUUGCUAACAUUUAGUUGAGGACUCUAGUGAGACUGCCUACGCAAGUAGAGAGGAAGGUGGGGAUGACGUCAAAUCAUCACGGCCCUUACGCCUUGGGCCACACACGUGAUACAAUGGAUGGUACAGAGGGCUGCUACUAUGUGAAUAGAUGCUAAUCUCGAAAGCCAUUCUCAGUUCGGAUUGGAGUCUGCAACUCGACUCUAUGAAGCUGGAUUCGCUAGUAAUCGCAUAUCAGCCAUGAUGCGGUGAAUACGUUCCCGGGCCUUGUACACACCGCCCGUCAAGCCAUGGAAGCGGGUUCUGCCAGAAGUAGUUAGCCUAACCGCAAGGAGGGCGAUUACCACGGCAGGGUUCGUGACUGGGGUGAAGUCGUAACAAGGUAACCGUA